AACGAACGCUGGCGGCAUGCCUAACACAUGCAAGUCGAACGAGACCUUCGGGUCUAGUGGCGCACGGGUGCGUAACGCGUGGGAACCUGCCCUUAGGUUCGGAAUAACUCCCCGAAAGGGGUGCUAAUACCGGAUAAUGUCUUCGGACCAAAGAUUUAUCGCCUUUGGAUGGGCCCGCGUUGGAUUAGCUAGUUGGUAGGGUAAAAGCCUACCAAGGCGACGAUCCAUAGCUGGUCUGAGAGGAUGAUCAGCCACACUGGGACUGAGACACGGCCCAGACUCCUACGGGAGGCAGCAGUGGGGAAUAUUGGACAAUGGGCGAAAGCCUGUUCCAGCAAUGCCGCGUGAGUGAUGAAGGCCUUAGGGUUGUAAAGCUCUUUUACCCGGGAUGAUAAUGACAGUACCGGGAGAAUAAGCUCCGGCUAACUCCGUG
rnacentral:rRNA from 1 species